CGUCCACUCAUUUUCAUGUUGAAAGACCUCCGAUUGGAGGUCUUUUUCA
rnacentral:sRNA from 1 species